UACAGAGGUCUCGAGCGUUAGGCGGAAUCACUGGGCUUAAAGCGUGUGUAGGCGGAUCGGUAAGUACCUUGUGAAAUCCCACAGCUUAACUGUGGAACUGCUUGGUAUACUGCCAGUCUUGAGCCAGCUAGGGGCUACCGGAACAAAUGGUGGAGCGGUGAAAUGCGUAGAUAUCGGGAGGAACACCCGUGGCGAAGGCGGCUCUCUGGCCUGUAACUGACGCUGAGGCGCGAAAGCGUGGGGAGCAAACAGG
rnacentral:rRNA from 1 species